GACGAACGCUGGCGGCGUGCUUAACACAUGCGAGUCGAACGGAAAGGCCCUGCUUUUGUGGGGUGCUCGAGUGGCGAACGGGUGAGUAACACGUGAGUAACCUGCCCUUGACUUUGGGAUAACUUCAGGAAACUGGGGCUAAUACCGGAUAGGAGCUCCUGCUGCAUGGUGGGGGUUGGAAAGUUUCGGCGGUUGGGGAUGGACUCGCGGCUUAUCAGCUUGUUGGUGGGGUAGUGGCUUACCAAGGCUUUGACGGGUAGCCGGCCUGAGAGGGUGACCGGCCACAUUGAGACUGAGAUACGGCCCAGACUCCUACGGGAGGCAGCAGUGGGGAAUAUUGCACAAUGGGCGGAAGCCUGAUGCAGCAACGCCGCGUGCGGGAUGACGGCCUUCGGGUUGUAAACCGCUUUCGCCUGUGACGAAGCGUGAGUGACGGUAAUGGGUAAAGAAGCACCGGCUAACUACGUG
rnacentral:rRNA from 1 species